rnacentral:rRNA from 1 species
GACGUAGGGCGCGAGCGUUUGUCCGGAAUUAUUGGGCGUAAAGCGCGCGUAGGCGGCUACUUAAGUCGGAUGUGAAAGCCCUUGGCUCAACUGAGGAAGUGCACCCGAAACUGAGUGGCUUGAGUACUAAAGAGGGUCGCGGAAUUCCCGGUGUAGAGGUGAAAUUCGUAGAUAUCGGGAGGAACACCGGUGGCGAAGGCGGCGACCUGGGUAGAUACUGACGCUGAGGCGCGAAAGCGUGGGGAGCAAACAGG